rnacentral:rRNA from 1 species
UGCUGGAGGUAUCAGAAGUGCGAAUGCUGACAUAAGUAACGAUAAAGCGGGUGAAAAGCCCGCUCGCCGGAAGACCAAGGGUUCCUGUCCAACGUUAAUCGGGGCAGGGUGAGUCGACCCCUAAGGCGAGGCCGAAAGGCGUAGUCGAUGGGAAACAGGUUAAUAUUCCUGUACUUGGUGUUACUGCGAAGGGGGGACGGAGAAGGCUAUGUUAGCCGGGCGACGGUUGUCCCGGUUUAAGCAUGUAGGCGGAGGUUCCAGGUAAAUCCGGUACCUUUUAACGCUGAGGUGUGAUGACGAGGCACUACGGUGCUGAAGUAACAAAUGCCCUGCUUCCAGGAAAAGCCUCUAAGCAUCAGGUAACACGAAAUCGUACCCCAAACCGACACAGGUGGUCAGGUAGAGAAUACCAAGGCGCUUGAGAGAACUCGGGUGAAGGAACUAGGCAAAAUGGUGCCGUAACUUCGGGAGAAGGCACGCUGAUAUGUAGGUGAAGCCCCUGCGGGUGGAGCUGAAAUCAGUCGAAGAUACCAGCUGGCUGCAACUGUUUAUUAAAAACACAGCACUGUGCAAACACGAAAGUGGACGUAUACGGUGUGACGCCUGCCCGGUGCCGGAAGGUUAAUUGAUGGGGUUAGCGGCAACGCGAAGCUCUUGAUCGAAGCCCCGGUAAACGGCGGCCGUAACUAUAACGGUCCUAAGGUAGCGAAAUUCCUUGUCGGGUAAGUUCCGACCUGCACGAAUGGCGUAAUGAUGGCCAGGCUGUCUCCACCCGAGACUCAGUGAAAUUGAACUCGCUGUGAAGAUGCAGUGUACCCGCGGCAAGACGGAAAGACCCCGUGAACCUUUACUAUAGCUUGACACUGAACACUGGUCCUUGAUGUGUAGGAUAGGUGGGAGGCUUUGAAGCGUGGACGCCAGUCUGCGUGGAGCCGUCCUUGAAAUACCACCCUUUAAUGGCUGGUGUUCUAACGUAGACCCGUGAUCCGGGUUGCGGACAGUGUCUGGUGGGUAGUUUGACUGGGGCGGUCUCCUCCCAAAGAGUAACGGAGGAGCACGAAGGUUAGCUAAUCCUGGUCGGACAUCAGGAGGUUAGUGCAAUGGCAUAAGCUAGCUUGACUGCGAGAGUGACGGCUCGAGCAGGUGCGAAAGCAGGUCAUAGUGAUCCGGUGGUUCUGAAUGGAAGGGCCAUCGCUCAACGGAUAAAAGGUACUCCGGGGAUAACAGGCUGAUACCGCCCAAGAGUUCAUAUCGACGGCGGUGUUUGGCACCUCGAUGUCGGCUCAUCACAUCCUGGGGCUGAAGUAGGUCCCAAGGGUAUGGCUGUUCGCCAUUUAAAGUGGUACGCGAGCUGGGUUUAGAACGUCGUGAGACAGUUCGGUCCCUAUCUGCCGUGGGCGCUGGAGAAUUGAGGGGGGCUGCUCCUAGUACGAGAGGACCGGAGUGGACGCAUCACUGGUGUUCGGGUUGUCAUGCCAAUGGCACUGCCCGGUAGCUAAAUGCGGAAGAGAUAAGUGCUGAAAGCAUCUAAGCACGAAACUUGCCCCGAGAUGAGUUCUCCCUGAGACUUUAAGUCUCCUGAAGGAACGUUGAAGACGACGACGUUGAUAGGUCGGGUGUGUAAGCGCAGCGAUGCGUUGAGCUAACCGAUACUAAUGAACCGUGAGGCUUAACCUUACAACGCCGAAG